rnacentral:snRNA from 1 species
CUCGCUUCUCGGCCUUUUGGCUAAGAUCAAUGUUUAGUUUCUGUUCUUAUCGAAUUAACCUUCGAUAGAGAUUAGGCUGAAUUUAAUUAAUUUAAAAUGAAAAUGAUAUGGCCAUGAACGAGUACUUUCGUCAAGAGAUCUUCGUGCUUUAGCCAGCCCACGGUUGACUGAACGCCUC